UGCCAGCUGUCCUCUCAUAUGCUGUUGCUCAGGAGGAAGAUGUUGGGAACAAUAGCUGCUCCUCAACCACCUUGAUGUUUAAACAGCUCUCUACUCAGCUUGCAGAGGCAGCACGAUGUGCUGAAAACAUUACUAGCCAGUGGAGCGAUGACCAGACUGCUGCUUUUAGUGUAACCCAUAAUUUUACUUUGUGCCUUUCUAAAUGUAUUACUUAAGUAAUUAUUGUGUUUCUGUGUGUUUCUGUUUCUGUCUAUUUCUCUAAAAUGUUGUGCACAAUUUGUUUUUAAAUAUUAUUAUUUUUUAUUAUUGGGAAGAUCAACUUUAAUAUUGUGGAUAUAUUGUGGCUUCCAUCAAUGUAAUUGUCUUCAUCAUUUCCAAUCCCCAAUACAUUUUUUUCUUAAACAUAUACUGUAUAUAAAAUAUAUAUUUUAAAAUAUA